UGGGGAAUUUUGGACAAUGGGCGAAAGCCUGAUCCAGCAAUGCCGCGUGUGUGAAGAAGGCCUUCGGGUUGUAAAGCACUUUUGUCCGGAAAGAAAUGGCUCUGGUUAAUACCUGGGGUCGAUGACGGUACCGGAAGAAUAAGGACCGGCUAACUACGUGCCAGCAGCCGCGGUAAUACGUAGGGUCCAAGCGUUAAUCGGAAUUACUGGGCGUAAAGCGUGCGCAGGCGGUUGUGCAAGACCGAUGUGAAAUCCCCGAGCUUAACUUGGGAAUUGCAUUGGUGACUGCACGGCUAGAGUGUGUCAGAGGGGGGUUAGAAUUCCACGUGUAGCAGUGAAAUGCGUAGAGAUGUGGAGGAAUACCGAUGGCGAAGGCAGCCCCCUGGGAUAACACUGACGCUCAUGCACGAAAGCGUGGGGAGCAAACAGGAUUAGAUACCCUGGUAGUCCACGCCCUAAACGAUGUCAACUAGUUGUUGGGGAUUCAUUUCCUUAGUAACGUAGCUAACGCGUGAAGUUGGACCGCCUGGGGAGUACGGUCGCAAGAUUAAAAGC
rnacentral:rRNA from 1 species